rnacentral:misc_RNA from 1 species
CAACCCUCAGGACCCCCCUUCGCGGGGUGGGACCUGGCGUUGGGGAUCGGCCCGCCCCGUGCGGCGCCGUCCCCCAAAUACAGUGGCGGUCUCGCUGCAGCCUCUCUUGCGUAGUAGUAUAACCUCGCACUGGAGCGCGGCGCGGCCACGCCGUAAAACCCCCGACUUUCUGAA